GGCCUAACACAUGCAAGUCGAGCGGUAACAGGGGUAGCUUGCUACCCGCUGACGAGCGGCGGACGGGUGAGUAAUGCAUAGGAAUCUGCCCGRUAGUGGGGGAUAACCUGGGGAAACCCAGGCUAAUACCGCAUACGUCCUACGGGAGAAAGGGGGCUCCGGCUCCCGCUAUUGGAUGAGCCUAUGUCGGAUUAGCUAGUUGGUGAGGUAAUGGCUCACCAAGGCGACGAUCCGUAGCUGGUCUGAGAGGAUGAUCAGCCACAUCGGGACUGAGACACGGCCCGAACUCCUACGGGAGGCAGCAGUGGGGAAUAUUGGACAAUGGGGGCAACCCUGAUCCAGCCAUGCCGCGUGUGUGAAGAAGGCCCUCGGGUUGUAAAGCACUUUCAGCGAGGAAGAACGCCCGUCGGUUAAUACCCGGCAGGAAAGACAUCACUCGCAGAAGAAGCACCGGCUAACUCCGUGCCAGCAGCCGCGGUAAUACGGAGGGUGCAAGCGUUAAUCGGAAUUACUGGGCGUAAAGCGCGCGUAGGUGGCUUGAUAAGCCGGUUGUGAAAGCCCCGGGCUCAACCUGGGAACGGCAUCCGGAACUGUCAGGCUAGAGUGCAGGAGAGGAAGGUAGAAUUCCCGGUGUAGCGGUGAAAUGCGUAGAGAUCGGGAGGAAUACCAGUGGCGAAGGCGGCCUUCUGGACUGACACUGACACUGAGGUGCGAAAGCGUGGGUAGCAAACAGGAUUAGAUACCCUGGUAGUCCACGCCGUAAACGAUGUCGACCAGCCGUUGGGUGCCUAGAGCACUUUGUGGCGAAGUUAACGCGAUAAGUCGACCGCCUGGGGAGUACGGCCGCAAGGUUAAAACUCAAAUGAAUUGACGGGGGCCCGCACAAGCGGUGGAGCAUGUGGUUUAAUUCGAUGCAACGCGAA
rnacentral:rRNA from 1 species